AUGUAACAAGGUUUCCGUAGGUGAACCUGCGGAAGGAUCA
rnacentral:rRNA from 1 species